rnacentral:rRNA from 1 species
UACGUAGGGACCGAGCGUUGUCCGGAAUCAUUGGGCGUAAAGAGCGUGUAGGCGGCUUGCUAAGUCUUGCGUGAAAUCUCGGGGCUUAACCCCGAGCGGUCGUGGGAAACUGGCAGGCUAGAGUGCGGGAGAGGAGAAUGGAAUUCCUGGUGUAGCGGUGAAAUGCGCAGAUAUCAGGAAGAACACCCGUGGCGAAGGCGGUUCUCUGGAACGCAACUGACGCUGAGACGCGAAAGCGUGGGGAGCAAACAGG